rnacentral:piRNA from 1 species
UACUUAAUGCUGGAGUCACUGGUGGUAC